rnacentral:rRNA from 1 species
CACGAACUGUCCUAACGUUGUUCGGAAUCACUGGGCUUAAAGGGCGCGUAGGCGGUCCGACAAGUCAGGGGUGAAAUCCUGCAGCUUAACUGCAGAAGUGCCUCUGAUACUGUCGGUCUGGAGGGAGAUAGGGGUGUGCGGAACUUCCAGUGGAGCGGUGAAAUGCGUUGAUAUUGGAAGGAACGCCGGAGGCGAAAGCGGCGCACUGGAUCUCUUCUGACGCUGAGGCGCGAAAGCUAGGGGAGCAAACGGG